CAAGACUAAACUACAACUAUGAACAACAUCAUCAUCUUCAUCUGGACCAUUGCACUGUUUAUUCAAGAGUGUAGAGGACAGAUCACUGUAACUCAGAGUCCAUCAAUAUCAGCAGUUCAACCAGGAGAAGAAGUCAGAAUAAACUGUAAAACCAGCAGUAAUGUGUAUAGUAAUAAUUGGUUACACUGGUACUCACAGAAACCUGGAGAAGCUCCUAAACUCCUCAUAUAUAGAGCAACAACCCGUAAUACUGGAACUCACUCUAGAUUCAGUGGCAGUGGAUCUGGCAGUGAUUUUACUCUGACCAUCAGUGGAGUCCAGACUGAAGAUACAGGAGAUUAUUACUGUCAGAGUUAUCAUGCUAUCAGUGGUAAAGCUGUGUUCACACAGUGAUAAAGAGUCGUACAAAAACCUCUGUCAGUCAGACGUCACAGUGACUGCACUGAUACAGCUGAGAGAAACUGCAGCUGCUGA